UCAAAAGUUAAUGAGAUGCAGAGAGAAGAGCACUUAGAAUGGGAAGAACUGGGUUCAAAUGCCAAUCACUAUACAUGUGAUCUUGGGCAAAUUAUUUGCUUCUUUGGGCCUCGGUUUACUCACGUUUAAAAUAAGAGCGACCUCUCCUAGACCCAUGUAAGUACCCUUACACCAGGGAAAAACAAAUCAACAAAUUGACUUCCUUAUCUCAGUACAACAUGGAACCCAAGCCAAAUAAUAAGUAAAUAUAGUUUCUUCAUGGAGCAGAGCCAGACUUUCCAGACACGUUGUCUGCAUGACAAAAGGCUUAGUGCCAAGACUGCCUUGAGGAUUUUAUCACUAGGGUCCACUGAAAAGCUGUUCAAAAUGGUUUGAACAGUGGCCCUGAGUCCUGGCUCUUGCUACAGAGUACAGGAGACACAUGUGCUCAAGUAAGUAAAUACAAAGGAAUACAAGACAGUUUUAGGAGGGAAAGAGUGUUAAAAACUGGAAGCAUCAGGGAAGGACUUA